rnacentral:rRNA from 1 species
UUAAAGCUAGCCUGUCCACCUACCUUAAACCCAACAUUAUUACUCUACCUAACUCGUAAGCUCCUAACUAAAACAUUUUAUCUCUUUAGUAUGGGCGACAGAACAAAAACUCAGCGCAAUAGACUAUGUACCGCAAGGGAGAGCUGAAAGAGAAAUGAAACAAAUAAUUAAAGUAAGAAAAAGCAGAGAUUCUACCUCGUACCUUUUGCAUCAUGAUUUAGCUAGAAAAACUAGACAAAGAGAUCUUUAGCCUACCUUCCCGAAACUAAACGAGCUACUCCGAAGCAGCACAACUUAGAGCCAACCCGUCUCUGUGGCAAAAGAGUGGGAAGACUUCCGAGUAGCGGUGACAAGCCUAUCGAGUUUAGUGAUAGCUGGUUGUCCAAGAAAAGAACUUCAAUUCUGCACUAAUUCUUUCAUCACCAAAAAGUCUACCAUACCAGGGCUAAAAAUAUAAGAAUUAGUAGUUAUUCAGAAGAGGUACAGCCCUUCUGAAUCAAGAUACAACUUUCAAAGGAGGGAAAUGAUCAUAUUUACCAAGGUUCUCACCUCAGUGGGCCCAAAAGCAGCCACCUGUAAAGUAAGCGUCACAGCUCCAGUCUCACAAAAACCUAUAAUUUAGAUAAUCUUCUCAGCACCCCCUUAACUUUAUUGGACUAUUUUAUAAACUUAUAAAAGAAAUUAUGCUAAAAUGAGUAAUAGGAGGACAAACCUCUCCCCGACACAAGUGUAUGUCAGAAAGAAUUAAUUCACUGACAAUUAUACGAACCCAGACUGAGGUUAUUAUACCUUAUUUUACCUUAACUAGAAAAUCUUAUUAUAACAUUCGUUAACCCUACACAGGAGUGUCUUAAGGAAAGA